AAUAGAUACCCAGGUAGUCCACGCCGUAAACGAUGAAUACUAGGUGUCGGAGGGUACCACCUUCGGUGCCGCAGCAAACGCAAUAAGUAUUCCGCCUGGGGAGUACGGUCGCAAGAUUAAAACUCAAAGGAAUUGACGGGGACCCGCACAAGCAGCGGAGCAUGUGGUUUAAUUCGAAGCAACGCGAAGAACCUUACCUAGACUUGACAUCUCCUGAAUUACUCGUAAUGGAGGAAGCCCUUCGGGGCAGGAAGACAGGUGGUGCAUGGUUGUCGUCAGCUCGUGUCGUGAGAUGUUGGGUUAAGUCCCGCAACGAGCGCAACCCUUGUUGUUAGUUGCUACCAUUAAGUUGAGCACUCUAACGAGACUGCCGCGGUUAACGCGGAGGAAGGUGGGGAUGACGUCAAAUCAUCAUGCCCCUUAUGUCUAGGGCUACACACGUGCUACAAUGGCCGGUACAGAAAGAUGCAAACCCGUGAGGGGGAGCUAAACUCAAAAGCCGGUCCCAGUUCGGAUUGUAGGCUGAAACUCGCCUACAUGAAGUUGG
rnacentral:rRNA from 1 species